rnacentral:tRNA from 1 species
GAGGGUAUAGCUCAUCAGGAGAGCAUGUACUUAGCAUGCACAAGGCCCUGGGUUCAAUCCCAGGUUCCUCCG